AUUGAACGCUGGCGGCAUGCCUUACACAUGCAAGUCGAACGGCAGCGCGGGAGCAAUCCUGGCGGCGAGUGGCGAACGGGUGAGUAAUAUAUCGGAACGUGCCCAGUAGUGGGGGAUAGCCCGGCGAAAGCCGGAUUAAUACCGCAUACGACCUACGGGUGAAAGGGGGGGAUCGCAAGACCUCCAGCCAUUGGAGCGGCCGAUAGCAGAUUAGGUAGUUGGUGGGGUAAAAGCCUACAAAGCCUGCGAUCUGUAGUUGGUCUGGGAGGACGACCAGCCACACUGGGACUGAGACACGGCCCAGACUCCUACGGGAGGCAGCAGUGGGGAAUUUUGGACAAUGGGGGCAACCCUGAUCCAGCAAUGCCGCGUGCAGGAAGAAGGCCUUCGGGUUGUAAACUGCUUUUGUCAGGGAAGAAAUCCCUUGGGUUAAUACCUCGGGGGGAUGACGGUACCUGAAGAAUAAGCACCGGCUAACUACGUGCCAGCCGCCGCCGUAA
rnacentral:rRNA from 1 species